GACGCACGCUGGCGGCGUGCCUAAUCCAUGCAAGUCGAACGCAGUGGGGACGGGUGAGUAACACGUGGGUAACCUCCCAUCAGAGGGGAUAACACUUGGAAACAGGUGCUAAACCGAUACUGAUGGAUGAACCCGCGGUGCAUACGCUAGUUGGUGAGGGAACGGCGCACCACGGCCACGAUGCAUAGCCGACCUGAGAGGGUGAUCGGCCAAAUUGGGACUGGGCUCAGGCCCAGACCCCUACGGCAGGCAGCAGUAGGGAAUCGUCGGCAAUGGACGAAAGUCUGACCGAGCCACGCCGCGUGGGUGAAGAAGGUUCUCGGAUCGUAAAACUCUGUAGGUAGAGAAGCGGUAUCUACCCAGAAAGCCACGGGUGACUACGUGCCAGCAGCCGCGGUAAUAC
rnacentral:rRNA from 1 species